UUAUAAAAAAGGGGGGCCGGGGGGUGAAUACACGCGGCACGCGCGGGACCCGCUACGCCGUCUUCCCCCGCCGAGAGACAGCUGGCGCUCUGUCGAGGGGUCCAGCGCGGGCGCGGGCCAGCGGCAGAUGGGGAGCCAACGGUCGAUAUCGUGGAGGGGCGUGCGGGCUCGUUCGUAACGGCACGCGCCGAGCAGCGCCGCUAUACGCCGAGGCGCCAGCCAGUCCCGUAUUGCUCCGAUCGCAGAGACAUGGAGGACGCCGAACGCCAAGGUGACGUCGAUGGCCGGCUGGAACCCUGGAAUUGGGGCGUCGAGGACCCCGGCUGGGCCUGGAGCACGACGCACAAGUCGCCUGAAGUGGUACUGCUUGGACCCCAACAGGCGCAGUUCCACCCCCGUUGGAGCAGCGGCACGGCGGGCGUGCGGAGCGCGAGUCCGCUGGCGAGGGACCGGCGCAGCUACUGGGAAGUGCGUGUGUCGCAUCGUGUCUUCGGCACAAGCAUGAUGUGGGGCCUGUGCACGGCGCAGGCACGGCUGCACGCCAACGCCUUCCUCGACCUACUCGGACAAGACAGCCAGGGAUGGGGGCUCUCGCACAAGGGCCUGCUGUGGCACGACGGCCGAUGGCGGUCGUUCACGCGGCCGUUCCGCGAGAACGAGCCGACCGUGCUGGGCCUGCUCUUCGACGGGCGGCGCGGAACACUCACCUAUUACAAGGACGGCGUGUGCCUGGGUGUCGCCUUCCGCGACCUGCACCGCGUGCGCGAGCCCCUCUACCCGGCCGUCUCAUCGACCGCCGCCAAGACCGAAAUGUGUUUGGCCAACGCGCGCAGGGACUACGCCGGCCUGCAGGACCGCUGCCGUGCAGUGAUCCUGCGGCGAACUGCGGGUCCAGAUGCCGUGCGCGAGCUAAGGCUGCCACCACGACUGCAACGCUACCUGCUGCAUGAAGAGGACAUGUGAGGGCCGACCAUCCUGCCGUCACGUCAAACACUAGUCACGACGGACUUCCUAGUUGUAUAGCGCGUUCGCUGCCAAAUGCCCCCCACUAGUCAAUAUGGCAUUGAGCCAAGCUGGCCCCAUCGCAACACCAAACCUGAUGCCAGAGUAC
rnacentral:misc_RNA from 1 species